CCACCCCCUGAUCUGUGGUGUUAUCUGUAGAGGAUAUGUAAGCCAAGAUAGAAGUGGUGGGGGCCGAGUUUGGUUAUGUUAAAUUGACCGAAGAUUACAGGAUUUUAAGUAAUUAAUAAUAUUCGGUAAUAUUUACGUACGUUGAGGUAGUGUGAUAUGUUUGUGAUUUAAAAGCUUAAUGUGUAUACUGCGAUGAUAUUUAUAUGAAUUUGUUCUGUAAGCAGGAGAUCAGGGUAAUUGACAAAUAUUGCUCAUCAUACAUCUUCGUGAAUAUAUAAAUUUGAAUUAUAUAGACGAUAUAGACUCUUAUUAGAAGUGCAGCCGCAGUUCUGCAGUUGGGGUGUGGUUGAACGUGUCUGUGCUUGAGCUAUGAGGUGGUUGUAAACUUCUUCUAGAACCAAUAUUUGAUCCCUGCUAAUAAUCUGGUAUAGAUAACUGCAUUUUAUAAAAGCUGUACUGGCAUCAAAGAAAGAAGGAAAGGUAAUUGGUCAUAAAUGUGUAAAUUUAUUAAUACGGAAAUAAUGAAACGCUCGGAAUCACAAUGUCAGUGUUGUGUAGGAUUGAAGUUGCAAGUGAGUAAGAUCAAAAUGGAAUUGGAAUCUGCCCUAAAAAUUAUAGAAAUUUUGAAAGAAGAGCUGGGCAGUGCGGUCGCGUUGUCUAGUGCUAAUAAAAAUGUCAUAUGAAAUAAUGAAAAUGGAUCUCAAAUAUCUCCAAGUGAAAAAAAAACUGGAUCCAUAUACAAAGAAAUCAAAAAAAGAAGAUAACAGAUAAGUUAAAAGACCAUGAGGAAACAUAUGUAACAACAAGUAAUCAUUUUGAAAUUUUAUCUAACCUCAAUGAGAUUAUUAAGUCUACUGAAGCAGCAAAAGAAGAAAUUCUCAAACCAAGUAAAACUGUACAAAAUAAUAUCGACAAAAGUAAUUUUCAAGCAAGAGACAGUAAAUACAAGGCUGAUGCAGAAGGACAGAUGAUUAAUAACAUUUCAGUGAUAAUAAGUGGUCUAGUAACAUCUAAUAACAGUAAAGUUCUGAACAGUGACAUCUUACAUUCAUAUGAGAGUGCUGAAACCGUUGAGGCUAAUGCAAGGAAUGAGAAAGAGGCUCCCAAGGAGAAAGUUGCUGAUUCAGCAGCAAGAGCUUCAAAGAACAAAGGAAACCACACUAUAUUAAUUAUUGGAGACAGCCAUGUAAAGAGAUGUGCAAGUAAACAGAGAAAAUCUUGAUAAAACUUAUAAGGUAAUUGGAGUUAUAAAACCAGGAGCUGAUUUAUUUACCCUAAGUAAUUCUGUAAAAGAUACUAUUUUAACCGUAGGAAAAAAUGAUCAUCUUGUAUUUAGUAGAGGUGCAAACAGUAUCUCAAAAAAUAAUUCUAAAAUGGGACUAAGACACAUUUUAAACUUUGUAAGUAACAAUACUCAUACUAAUAUUAUUCUGUUAGGUAUGCCACAUAGACACAACCUGGCAGAUUGGUCUUGCAUAAAUAAUGAGAUAAAUGCCUUUGAUAGGAAACUGUUUAAAAUCAUGAAAUGUCACAGUAAUGAACUGUGACUUAGACACUUCUUUAUAAGACCAGGUAUGCAUCUGAAGAGGAGAAGAAAAGAAGAUAUGCUUAAACAUAUAGCAGCAACCUGUGUGACAAUUUGUCAAUCUAAUAAAAAUUUCAUCCCAAUUUGCUUGCUCUGGAAGGAAUCUGAAAGUUAUAAUGCAAAUCUACAAGCUAACAAGUUUCCAGCUAUGAAUGACUCAGUAAAAACGACAGAGCAAAAAAAAAUGAACCUGUACGGAAAUCAAAUGGACUAAAAAACUACCAGAAUAUCACAUGAAUUUCUUGGAAUUGCAACAGCUGUACAUAGAUUCUUAUAAACUAGGAGCAAACUAUUGUAGAACCUUGUAUGAAAAAGGAGGAGUAUGCAUCUAUCUAUGCACAAGCUUGAAUUUUGUAAGAAUAGACCUAAAAAGUAUUGUAAAGAAAAAGAUUUUGAGGUAUGUGCUGUUAAGUUAAACCUGAGCUCCAACAGACUUUGUAUAAUUACAAUAUAUUGAGCUCUGACUGGAAACAUUAAUACAUUCAUAACAAAACUAGAUUCAGUACUUAGAAACCUAUAUACCUCAACACAAGAAUAUAUUAUUUGUGGGGAUAUUAAUAUAAAUUGCCUUCUUGA